rnacentral:lncRNA from 10 species
UGACAAUGGGAUGUUUUCACCAAGUGGAGAAUCGUGUGAAGAUAUUGAUGAGUGUGGGACCGGGAGGCACAGCUGUGCCAAUGAUACCAUUUGCUUCAAUUUGGAUGGCGGAUAUGAUUGUCGAUGUCCUCAUGGAAAGAAUUGCACAGGGGACUGCAUCCAUGAUGGAAAAGUUAAGCACAAUGGUCAGAUUUGGGUGUUGGAAAAUGACAGGUGCUCUGUGUGCUCAUGUCAGGUUGGUAUAAAUGAAAAACUUUAAUUAAUUUUAUUCAGUUGUAAUUUGCAUAUGUUUUAAGUGUGUAUAUGGCUUGAUGAGUUUUGACAAUGUGUACAUCCACUUACCUACCAUCACAAUUAAUAUAACAGAACACUUCCAUUAUCCCAAAUGUUGCCUAUGUUCUUUCCUAGUUAGUCCCACAACCUUAGAUCCAGGCAAAAACUGCAUCCAGUCCCUAUUGAUUAAAUUUGUAUUUUCUAGAGCCUCAUAUAAAUGGAGUUUUAUAGUAUAUACUAUAUUGUGUCUGACUUCAUUCUCUCAACAUUAUGUUUUUGAGAUUCAAUCCUAUUGUACCUAUAUCUCUAAUCCAUUUCUUUUUAAUACCGAAUAAUAUUUCAUUGUAUGGAUAUACCAAUGUAUUUAUCUAUCCACAUGUUGAUAAAAUUUUAUUACUAACCAUGCUAAUUUUUUCCUAGUCACAGUAUCAUGUUUGAAUGACUGCAUAAAUAAAGUCAGAAUGAACAUGCUGUGA